AAGAGCCUGCUUUUAAAAAUUGGGUGUCAGAGCAAGCCCCGAGGGCAGCAGCUGUGGGCAGGCUGGAGGAAAUGGUCCCUGUUUAGGUGCUGCACUGGUCUCUGCAUGAUCAAUCCCAGCGCCCAGAACACCGAUAUCAAGGCCUUUGCCUGGCUCUUCUCCAGAUGGUUUUCUAUUGCAGGAGUUUUGCUGGCAGAGAGCUUAUGAAGAAACAGGCUUACAGAAGGCACGGCCAGGCUGCAGGGAUGACUGGGACCUGAAAACAGCCAGCAUCAUCAUUCUUGAAAGUUUGCUGACUUUCCUGUAUUUAUUUUCCAUGGACUAUGAGGAGGAGAAUAAUAGUGGUUCUCUAAUCAAGGGGCAUUCACAGAGGGGCCUAGCCAGGCAGCCUGACCCUGUAGACCUGCUCUGCUCCAGAGAACAGUGGAGGGGAGGGUGGCUUUGCAUGGAAGCUUACACUAUAGUAGGAUGAAAAGAUUGGCUUGGGAGACUGUGAAGGCUCAAAAUUUUUAUUCCAGUCUAUCUACUAGCUCCCAGGGGAUGUGUCUGGGAGAGCUCUCAGUUGUGUGAUGCUGGGAGGAGCUUUAGAUCCCCUCAGCCCUGGCUUACUGGUCUGCAAUGGGAGAAUAGCACAAUUAAUGGAGCAGACAAUAACCAAAUCUGUUAAAUGAUUUCAGGUUUAGAAACGAGGCAUGUAUACGUAUUUAACAGUUCUCAGAAUGUCAAGGAUCCCUCCUCAGAGCAAGAGCUCGAAUUUACAAAAGAAGCACUACCUCCUUUAUCACAUAGUAAAAUAAAGGACCGUGUCUGCUCCAGGACAUGGCUGGUUACAAUUUUGUUUUAAAGAAAUCACCAGAGAAACCUGAGAUUCCAACCCAGCCUUUUGUUUGCCUGGGAUUAUAGCCCAGUUCUUACAAGCAGAGAAGCCUAGGACACUAACCCAGCUUCAAGAGUAUACUCAGAAUCUCAAGAAUCACAAUCUGUGCUGCCCAUUCUUCAACAGACUGUCAUCUGGAGGCCUGGAUUGGAUCAGGAGUCGGGCUCACCAAUGGAGCCCCAAUCAGUCAGUCAGGAGUGAAGAUGAAAGCUUCAAAGGCAUUGAUGACUCACUUCUCACUUGAGUCCAGACCCAUCUGGAUUGCCUGCAAAAAGGUCUCGGCAGUGACCUGAAAACAUAUGUAAAUUACCCAACCAAUUCUAACCAGGACCUGCUGUCUGGCAAUUCAUCCCCAUGUUCUAGACUUGUCCAACAAGCACCCAAGCAACUUUGAGUUCCAUCCUGCAACUCUCAGUCAGGCUCAAGAAAAGCCCCAAUUUUAUCUGGGCAUGGUGACACAUGACUGUAAUCCCAGCUACUCGGGAGGCUGAGGCAGUUGAAUCGCUUGAACCCAGGAAGCGAAGGCUGCAGUGAGCCGAGAUCAUGCCACUGCACUCCAGCCUGGGCAACACAGCGAGACUGUCUCAAAAUAAAAUUAAAAUUAAAUUUUUUAAAAA
ensembl:lncRNA LINC02052 long intergenic non-protein coding RNA 2052